UGGAAAAAAACACAUGCUAGUGACAUCAGCAUCAUCUACACACCUGCUAGUGACAUCAUGCUCCUCUUCACCUGCUAGUAACUUGCCUGCUUUGUGAUAAGCAAAUUUUGCUAUCUUCUAAUUCUGAACCCAUCAGAAAUCACCAACCCCUCCUGACAUAUCUUUCCAGUUUGGGGGCAAUUAACCUAUACCAGGCCACAGAGAGGUUCUUCAUUUGGGUCCACUACUUUGCCAUCUGCACCGAGGUGUGGAGCAUCAGGGUGGAUGAUGAGACUAGAUGGAGUAACGUUAACGUCAAAGGUCUCCUGGUAGCUGUGAAGAACCUCUGGCUCAAGUUUCA